GAUGAACGCUGGCGGCGUGCCUAAUACAUGCAAGUCGAGCGAACAGACGAGGAGCUUGCUCCUCUGACGUUAGCGGCGGACGGGUGAGUAACACGUGGAUAACCUACCUAUAAGACUGGGAUAACUUCGGGAAACCGGAGCUAAUACCGGAUAAUAUAUUGAACCGCAUGGAUCAAUAGUGAAACACGGUUUUGCUGUCUCUUAUAGAUGGAUCCGCGCCGCAUUAGCUAGUUGGUAAGGUAACGGCUUACCAAGGCAACGAUGCGUAGCCGACCUGAGAGGGUGAUCGGCCACACUGGAACUGAGACACGGUCCAGACUCCUACGGGAGGCAGCAGUAGGGAAUCUUCCGCAAUGGGCGAAAGCCUGACGGAGCAACGCCGCGUGAGUGAUGAAGGUCUUCGGAUCGUAAAACUCUGUUAUUAGGGAAGAACAAAUGUGUAAGUAACUAUGCACGUCUUGACGGUACCUAAUCAGAAAGCAACGGCUAACUACGUG
rnacentral:rRNA from 1 species